rnacentral:rRNA from 1 species
GAUGAACGCUGGCGGCGUGCCUAAUACAUGCAAGUCGAGCGAACAGACGAGGAGCUUGCUCCUCUGACGUUAGCGGCGGACGGGUGAGUAACACGUGGAUAACCUACCUAUAAGACUGGGAUAACUUCGGGAAGCCGGAGCUAAUACCGGAUAACAUGUUGAACCGCAUGGUUCAACAGUGAAGGACGGUCUUGCUGUCACUUAUAGAUGGAUCCGCGCCGCAUUAGCUAGUUGGUAAGGUAACGGCUUACCAAGGCAACGAUGCGUAGCCGACCUGAGAGGGUGAUCGGCCACACUGGAACUGAGACACGGUCCAGACUCCUACGGGAGGCAGCAGUAGGGAAUCUUCCGCAAUGGGCGAAAGCCUGACGGAGCAACGCCGCGUGAGUGAAGAAGGUCUUCGGAUCGUAAAACUCUGUUAUUAGGGAAGAACAAAUGUGUAAGUAACUAUGCACGUCUUGACGGUACCUAAUCAGAAAGCCACGGCUAACUACGUG